AUUGAACGCUGGCGGCAGGCCUAACACAUGCAAGUCGAGCGAGCGGCGGACGGGUGAGUAAUGUCUGGGAAACUGCCUGCUGGAGGGGGAUAACUACUUGAAACGGUAGCUAAUACCGCAUACCCUCAGAUGUGCCCAGAUGGGAUUAGCUGGUAGGUGGGGUAACGGCUCACCUAGGCGACGAUCCCUAGCUGGUCUGAGAGGAUGACCAGCCACACUGGAACGGAGACACGGUCCAGACUCCUACGGGAGGAAGCAGGGGGGAAUAUUGCACAAUGGGGGCAAGCCUGAUGCAGCCAUGCCGCGUGGAUGAAGAAGGCCUUCGGGUUGUAAAGUACUUUCAGCGGGGAGGCGUUACCCGCAGAAGAAGCACCGGCUAACUCCGUGCCAGCAGCCGCGGUAAUUC
rnacentral:rRNA from 1 species